rnacentral:rRNA from 1 species
AACGAACGCUGGCGGCAUGCCUAACACAUGCAAGUCGAACGAGACCUUCGGGUCUAGUGGCGCACGGGUGCGUAACGCGUGGGAACCUGCCCUUAGGUUCGGAAUAACUCCCCGAAAGGGGUGCUAAUACCGGAUAAUGUCUUCGGACCAAAGAUUUAUCGCCUUUGGAUGGGCCCGCGUUGGAUUAGCUAGUUGGUAGGGUAAAAGCCUACCAAGGCGACGAUCCAUAGCUGGUCUGAGAGGAUGAUCAGCCACACUGGGACUGAGACACGGCCCAGACUCCUACGGGAGGCAGCAGUGGGGAAUAUUGGACAAUGGGCGAAAGCCUGAUCCAGCAAUGCCGCGUGAGUGAUGAAGGCCUUAGGGUUGUAAAGCUCUUUGACCCGGGAUGAUAAUGACAGUACCGGGAGAAUAAGCUCCGGCUAACUCCGUG